GUAGUCCACGCUGUAAACGAUGAGUACUAGAUUUGGUGGGUCUUGACCCCCGCCGAAUCGGCGCUAACGCAAUAAGUACUCCGCCUGGGAAGUACGGUCGCAAGACUAAAACUCAAAGGAAUUGACGGGGGCCCGCACAAGCGGUGGAUCAUGUGGUUUAAUUCGAAGCAACGCGAAAAACCUUACCUGGAUUUGACAUCCUUUGACAUCCCUAGAGAUAGGGCUUCUGUAGCAAUACAGCAAAGUGACAGGUGCUGCAUGGCUGUCGUCAGCUCGUGUGGUGACAUGUUGGGUUAAGUCCCGCAACGAGCGCAACCCUUGUCUUUAGUUGCCAGCAUUAAGUUGGGCUCUCUAAAGAGACUGCCGUGGUUAACACGGA
rnacentral:rRNA from 1 species